AGAAUGCAUAAAUAACAAGUAAGGAUAGACAAGGUAAAUAUAUGAGGUAUGCGGAAAGUAUUGAUAUGAUUUUACCCAUUUUUGGUACAAGGGCAAAUAUUCUCCCUUAUUUUAAAUACUAGACCUCACAAAUUGACAGAUUGAUAUGUUCGGUAAAAAUCAGCCAUAUGCAAUGGGGUACACAUAAUUGGUGUUCGGGUCCUUGAAAAGUUGUAAUCGACAAUUUUUGUGCAUAAGAUGAAAUAUGAAACGUGUGGCUGCCAAAAAUAGCGCGUUUGCCAGCGGAUCCUCAGCUACAUAUGUACAUAGUUGCCAUAAACUCCAACUACGCCGUCACUUGCCAAAACAUUAGCGACCAACAGCAAACAAUUCGCGAAAAUAUGCUUAUUGUAGAAAAAACUAAAAUUUAUCAGAUCACGCAAAUUUGAAGCACUGGAUAUUUAAUCAAACUUAGCUCUCUAACUAUAGCCGAUAUAUUGUAUAUUUACAUAAAUCUUUGCCGACUUUUUUUUGUUAUCAUCAAAUAUAUUGUAAAUAGUUUGUGGUUAUAGCACACGAUGCCCAAACUUAAAAUUCUUAAGUUUUUUCUAA